rnacentral:rRNA from 1 species
CUUUUGGAGAGUUUGAUCCUGGCUCAGAGUGAACGCUGGCGGCGUGGAUUAGGCAUGCAAGUCGAGCGAUCUCGCAAGAGAUAGCGGCAAACGGGUUAGGAACACGUAGAUAAUCUUCCUUAUAUCCUGACAUAGCCCUAUGAAAAUAGGGGUAAUAUCAGAUGGUAUCCAGAAAGGACAUCCUUUUAGGAUUAAAGUAGGGGACCGCAAGGCCUUACGAUAUAAGA